GAAGGUCAAGGUGAGACUGACCAACACCUGCGUGCUGGUAUUCACCAGCAGUAAUAAAUCCCUGCUCACAGGUGCUGGAAGUCUCUUCAGAGAAACAACAUUGCUGCAGGGGACACACAACUAGUCCUGACCUUCUUUACACAGCCAUUCUCUGGGAAAAAUUUCCCCUGAAGUCAAUGUGCAUUCUGCCUAGCUUUCAUCGGAAGAAAAAUGCCCGGAUUGAAAUGACAACCACAAAUAAUAGGUGUUGGUGAUUUGCACUCUCUCAACCUAAAUCUGAUAUCUGGC